rnacentral:rRNA from 1 species
GAUGAACGCUAGCGGCAGGCUUAACACAUGCAAGUCGAGGGGUAUAGUUCUUCGGAACUAGAGACCGGCGCACGGGUGCGUAACGCGUAUGCAAUCUACCUUUUACAGGGGGAUAGCCCAGAGAAAUUUGGAUUAAUACCCCAUAGUAUGUUAGAGUGGCAUCAUUUUAACAUUAAAGUUCCAACGGUAAAGGAUGAGCAUGCGUCCCAUUAGCUAGAUGGUAAGGUAACGGCUUACCAUGGCGACGAUGGGUAGGGGUCCUGAGAGGGAGAUCCCCCACACGGGUACGGAGACACGGACCAGACUCCUACGGGAGGCAGCAGUGAGGAAUAUUGGACAAUGGGCGCAAGCCUGAUCCAGCCAUGCCGCGUGCAGGAAGACGGUCCUAUGGAUUGUAAACUGCUUUUGUACAGGAAGAAACACUCCCUCGUGAGGGAGCUUGACGGUACUGUAAGAAUAAGGAUCGGCUAACUCCGUGCCAGCAGCCGCCGUAAGAC